UUCCCCAAAUCCAUCCUCGCGCUUGGUCGCGCAGCCCUCCUCCUCUCUUCGCUCCAUGGCCGGCACCGCAGCCUCAUCUCCAUGGCUGGCACCGUACCCUCUACGCUGGCUCUGCAUCCCCUCCUACGAUCGCGCCCAGAGCACGACGGCGCCGCUGUUGCGCGCACUAAUUCCCUCACCCUCCGCCGCCGUUGCCCUCUCUCCCUCCACCGCCGUCCCCUUCAAUUCCCUCACCCUCUGCCGGUGAAAUCCACCCUCCCCCUCACCUUCUUUCCCUACAUAGGCCCAAGAUGGAGCCGGUCAGAAGGCUCUCCGAGAUCCGCGACGGCCACAGUGCAUACGCGCCCCUCCACCUCGUCGUCACGGGAUUCGAGCUUGGCCGCGACGGAGGUGCUGGAGGUUUUCUCCUUCCCCACAAUCGUGCACUGUGGGAGGUGCCCCCUGCGUUUCUUCUCGGGCGACGACACAACCGUGCGGUGGGUGGGAUUUGACGCCGCUCUUCCGCUCCGCGCGAGGAGGGAGCCGGCGGCGGCUCGGCUGCUCCGACUCCAUGGAACCCUUCCAGAUGGAAUACCUUGAGGAGCGCCCCAUCUCCCUGUGGACUGAGAAGACCACCGAGAAGGAGCAGUUCGGUGUUGCUUCUACCACAUUUCCCUUGCCGAGAGGGUCGUCGUCAGCACGAAGCACAACAACGACGAGCAGUACAUGUGGGAGUCCCAGGCUGGUCGUUCUUUCACCGUCACUUGUGAUACGUCUGGGGAGCAGCUCGAUAGGGGUACCAAGAUGGUCCUCUACCUCAAGGACGACCAUUGACUACUGUACUCAUAUGAAAGGUCAAGCAUGGAGGUUUCAAGAGCAUCCCUUCGUCCUGGUAAUGUUUUUUUGUUCCUUCUUAGUCUGCUGUAGUGGGUCCUCUGAAUCAAAUCACGUUUCCUUUGUUCAUCUUAAUUAGAACAUUUGGCCAUAUGCGAAUUAUGGUUUGUUAAUUGUAGAUUAUCUUUCUGGUGUGCCCGGCAGAACUCUGCAGUUUGCUUGCUUUAGGACAACACGAGAUCUGAUUUUUCUCAAUGUUCAGCGCCAAGGAUCUCAAUGUGGGGUGUGCUACUGCUACGGUGCCCACAUUUGCUUCCAUUUCUGCUCACAAGCAUAUGCACCUGCACGUCUAGUCUGUGGGCGGCCGAGGAAGGCAUGUUGUCUGUUUUCUUGAAGGCCGUUUCGUUUGUUCCCAGCCCUAACUACGGUUGUCCAGCUAGUUCGGCAUGUUGUUCAUAUCACUAUGGUAGUCCAACGAGUUUGGCAUGUUGUGAGUUUGGCAUGUUCAUGACGGGAGCAGGUGCCAGUUUGUGAUUGCUUGUAAAGCUUGUAAAGUAUUGUAUUACACUUGUAGUCAUUACUGUGAUUGCCACUGUAUUAUAGUUGUAAGGAUCUGGUUGCUCUUAUUUGAAGUAUUAUGUG